rnacentral:rRNA from 1 species
GACGAACGCUGGCGGCGUGCUUAACACAUGCAAGUCGAACGGAAAGGCCUGCUUUCCCUUGUGGAUUGCGGGUACUCGAGUGGCGAACGGGUGAGUAACACGUGAGUGAUCUGCCCCCAACUUGGGUAUAAGCCUGGGAAACUGGGUCUAAUUCCCGAUAGGACUGCAGGGUGGUUCCUGUUGUGGAAAACGAUUUUCUAGUGGUUGGGGAUGAGCUCGCGGCCUAUCAGCUUGUUGGUGGGGUAAUGGCCUACCAAGGCGGCGACGGGUAGCCGGCCUGAGAGGGUGGACGGCCACAUUGGGACUGAGAUACGGCCCAGACUCCUACGGGAGGCAGCAGUGGGGAAUAUUGCACAAUGGGCGGAAGCCUGAUGCAGCGACGCCGCGUGGGGGAUGACGGCCUUCGGGUUGUAAACUCCUUUCGACCGCGAGGAAGCCACCUGGUUGGAAGGGUGGUGACGGUAGUGGUAGAAGAAGCACCGGCUAACUACGUG